GGGAGGCGCGCUGCAGGGGGGCGCCGAGGAGCGGGUGAAGCCGUCGAGGAGCCAUGUUGGGUGUGGGAACGCUGCCGGGCGGGGGCGGCGCGUUUACACCGCGGCUGGACGGAGCUUCUAACAUUCUACACUCUUCUAAUUCGGUCACUGGUAAAUGCUUCAUUUACGUGUACUGCGCACGUGCAGAACUCGGGGAACGUCGCGGUGCUGACAGACGCUGCUUCAGCUCGGUCGGUGGCUUUUCCCUGCAGGACAAACAAGGCACAUGCUCAGAUGGCCCUCAGCUGUUGAGCCAGAGGUCUGCUGCGAGUUCUUUCAGCCUCCCAGCCUGAGACAGUUUUGUGGUCGCUCAUCUGAUUGAGCCAGGAGUGCUGCUCGCUGUCUUCCUGUGCCAGGCUGAGGGAGGAAGGUGGGAGAAAGGAAGAAAGGAAGAGGAGGGAGCGCACCAUCCCAAUGGCUUUGCUGGGAAGGAAGCCUGCAGGCUCCAGUUUAACAUCUGCCUGCAGCAGAGCAGCAACUGGCCACAGCACGUCCAUCUCAGGCAGGGGCUUGGGGACGCAGCCAGAAGAGGGCAAGGAGCGAGAGAUGGGAGUGCAGGGUGAGAGUGAGGUGUCCUCAGCCAGCGUUUGUGUGCUGGGAACAGAGAAGAAGCCGCUGGGAUGGGAGUUUCUCUCCUCUCCAAGCUGCUUCCCUGGGCCUUGGCCAUGCACAGCAAGGAGCACUUGCAGGAGCCCGUGGCCUUUGCAGAGGUGGCCAUGUAUUUCAGCAGGGCGCUGCUGGACCCUGCGCAGCGAGCGCUGUACCGGGCUGUGAUGCUGGAGACAUAGCAGUGCGUGGCCUCGCUGGGUGAGGGCUUUACUGCUGCUCCUUCUUGUUAGGGCAGCCCUGACUGUGCAGAAUGAGCCUCUGCAAGCAGGGCAUAGAAUAAAUGCAGUGCAGUUACUUAUUGGCAAGGCAACAGCAACAGAAGAAACACAGAGAAGCGUGAGUUGCAGAAUUAGCGUGCUCAGUCCCCUGAGAAAAGCCCCAGAGUCACUGCUGCCACACAGGUGUCAGCCGGAGGGGUUGGAUCAGCUCCCUGCAAACAGCCCUUGUGCUGCUGCUCUGCAUGGUGCCACCAGCUCCAGCACCCAGACGUCACACAGAUCACUCCUUUAGAAUUCUGUACUGUUCUGUUCCUUUCCCAUGAACCUUGUUGAAGUGUUGGUAAACAAAGCAUCCUAAAGGGAACGUUGAAGAAAAUGUCCCUGCAUCAUUUUCAGAGACGUAAAAGGCGUGCUGGGCUCCAAAGGAAGUCGGUAUGUGUUGGGCCAGUGUCAUUCAGAAUUGAUACGCUGACAUGCACCGGAGUGGGCUCAUGCUUGACAUCUUGUAAACAGGGUUGAAAAGAAACUUCAAAAUAAACACGCAGCCUUUGUAGGCCCUCCCCUCCAAAAUCCACGCAUUUUGCACGGCCAGAGGUGCCUUCCCAGUCUUCUGUCUGUUGGCAGUUUUACUUUAUCUGUUUUUUCUUCAGAUCACAGCAGAGUGAGUCUGCCUGCGUCAGCAGAAGAGCUGCCUUCGUGGAGGUGCAGUGAAGGUUUCUGACUGACCUGUCCUCACUUUGUAGGAGUUUUGUUUGCUUGCUUAAAUACAGUAAGAUGCUCUCACUGAUGAGUAUGUCCUUUGCCAUAAACAUGCCUGUGGCAAAAUGGUUAUUUUGACAUCAUCCUGCAGUGGCUAGGAUAACCGAGUCUUAGAAAAAUACAGCACCUCCCCCAGAGCUGUGAUGGCCGUGCUGCUGCUUGCUGAUCCUCCCUCUUA